CAGUCGCCGCGGUAAUACGUAGGUGACGAGCGUUGUCCGGAAUUAUUGGGCGCAAAGGGAGCGCAGGCGGUUGGAAUAGUCUGAUGUGAAAGCCCACGGCUUAACCGUGGAAGGUCAUUGGAAACUGUCCAACUUGAAUGCAGAAGAGGAAAGUGGAAUUCCAUGUGUAGCGGUGAAAUGCGUAGAUAUAUGGAGGAACACCAGUGGCGAAGGCGACUUUCUGGUCUGUAAUUGACGCUGAGGAGCGAAAGCGUGGGGAGCGAACAGGAUUAGAUACCCCAGUAGUCCCUGUCUCUUAUAC
rnacentral:rRNA from 1 species